rnacentral:rRNA from 1 species
UACGUAGGCAGCGAGCGUUGUUCGGAGUUACUGGGCGUAAAGGUUGUGUAGGCGGUCGUUUAAGUUUGGUGUGAAAUCUCCCGGCUCAACUGGGAGGGUGCGCCGAAUACUGAAUGACUAGAGUGUGGGAGAGGUGAGUGGAAUUCCUGGUGUAGCGGUGAAAUGCGUAGAUAUCAGGAGGAACACCGGUGGUGUAGACGGCUCACUGGACCAUAACUGACGCUGGGACACGAAAGCGUGGGUAGCAAACAGG